ACUUCCGGGGGGGCGGGAGCACCGCCCUUAAGGUGGCUCUGUUAAGUCUCCUGUGGGGACGAGUGAAAGUGGGUUUUUAAGUUUAGGGGCGGUUCUUGCGAGUCGGCCCCCCACGUUGAGAACGCUCUGAAGUUUGUCUCCUGAUCAAGUUCAAGAGCGACUGUCCGGCUGCACCUGGAAGCCGAGUGAUUUGCAUUGCUUGAAACCUGGUGUUCAGCUAAGUCCCCGCCGCACCCCACCUCACCCUCCUGACCGUGGGAGAAAGGGUGCGGGGGUUCACAGCUUUGCCUCGGAGAGGAGGUUUCUUACAGGAGGUGGAAUUAGCGGGCAGCUCGGUGUCUAGUUGGGAACGAGCGUUUAGGGAAUCCGAAACUCGGGGAACCCGGUGAUCGCCUACUCCCCGCCCCCGCACAAGAUGCAUAGACACACCACACAUCCCACGUACACACGAACACACACACACACACACACACACACACACACACACACACACACACACACACACACCACUCCUCCCGUCCUGAUUUGCUUCCGGGAAAACUAGUCCGAGAGCAGCAGACACUUGCCAAAAGUCACACAGCGAGUCAGGAGUAGAAUCAAGAUUUAAAAUUUCUCCGCUCCCGGCCGGCCGGUGGGCCCAUAUCCUGUGUAGCCUCUAGGAAGCGCUAGACCCAUGCUUCCUCUUCCCUCCCUAGCCUGUGAGCUCCUUGAGAGAGGGCUCUGUCUUAUUCAUUGAUGUGCUCUGAAGACCCACACAGGGGCCCUGGAACAGAAUAGCUGCAUUACAGUUGAGCCUCCUUUUGUAGAUAAAGAAGGCAGAGUUCAGAGAAAUUAUGCAGAUCAUUCAGGGGCACAGAGUAAGUGGCUGUAGCCAGAGCCCUGAUGUUUUAAACACUACACCAUGAUACCGUAAACUGCUGUCCCUGGAGAACCACCAACUGCUCCUUGAGCUCUCAGCAUGAUGCAGGUACUCCAGAAAUGUGUGCGGAAAGAUGGAGGAAAGAAGGACAAGGGCAACGUUCGAAGCCUGAGAAAGUUUUUCCUAAUGCUUCCUGACCCCACCUCUAACCAACUCAGGGUCUUCUCCCAGAUGUACUCCAGGAAAUGGUUCCUUUCCGGGCAUUAAAAUGACCUGUUGCCUGUCUGACUCAUUAGGCUGGGACUGGUGAGGGCAGGCUCUGUGUCUGGGUCAUGGUGGUCUCCCUAGGGCCUAGCAGAGUGCCUGACACUUGAUAAAUAUGUGUGAAUAAAUUCUGUCCUUUGCCUGGA